UACGUAGGGUGCGAGCGUUAAUCGGAAUUACUGGGCGUAAAGCGUGCGCAGGCGGUUCGCUAAGACCGAUGUGAAAUCCCCGGGCUUAACCUGGGAACUGCAUAGGUGACUGGCGGGCUAGAGUAUGGCAGAGGGGGGUAGAAUUCCACGUGUAGCAGUGAAAUGCGUAGAGAUGUGGAGGAAUACCGAUGGCGAAGGCAGCCCCCUGGGCUAAUACUGACGCUCAUGCACGAAAGCGUGGGGAGCAAACAGG
rnacentral:rRNA from 1 species